rnacentral:rRNA from 1 species
GGGGAUCUUGAGAGGGUAGACUUACACAUGCAGUCGAGCGAUGAAAUCCCUUCGGGGAUGGAUUAGCGGCGGACGGGUGAGUAACACGUGGGCAACCUGCCUCAAAGUGGGGGAUAGCCUUCCGAAAGGAAGAUUAAUACCGCAUAACAUUAGUAUUUCACAUGAAGUACUAAUUAAAGGAGUAAUCCGCUUUGAGAUGGGCCCGCGGCGCAUUAGCUAGUUGGUGAGGUAACGGCUCACCAAGGCCACGAUGCGUAGCCGACCUGAGAGGGUGAUCGGCCACAUUGGAACUGAGACACGGUCCAGACUCCUACGGGAGGCAGCAGUGGGGAAUAUUGCACAAUGGGCGAAAGCCUGAUGCAGCAACGCCGCGUGAGUGAUGAAGGCCUUCGGGUUGUAAAGCUCUGUCUUUGGGGACGAUAAUGACGGUACCCAAGGAGGAAGCCACGGCUAACUACGUGCCAGCAGCCGCGGUAAUACGUAGGUGGCGAGCGUUGUCCGGAUUUACUGGGCGUAAAGGAUGCGUAGGCGGAUGUUUAAGUCAGAUGUGAAAAUCCCGAGCUUAACUUGGGAACUGCAUUUGAAACUGGAUAUCUAGAGUGCGGGAGAGGAGAAUGGAAUUCCUAGUGUAGCGGUGAAAUGCGUAGAGAUUAGGAAGAACACCAGUGGCGAAGGCGAUUCUCUGGACCGUAACUGACGCUGAGGCAUGAAAGCGUGGGUAGCAAACAGGAUUAGAUACCCUGGUAGUCCACGCCGUAACGAUGAAUACUAGGUGUAGGAGGUAUCGACUCCUUCUGUGCCGCAGCUAACGCAAUAAGUAUUCCCGCCUGGGAAGUACGAUCGCAAGAUUAAAACUCAAAGGAAUUGACGGGGGCCCGCACAAGCAGCGGAGCAUGUGGUUUAAUUCGAAGCAACGCGAAGAACCUUUACCUAGACUUGACAUCCCCUGAAUUACCUGUAAUGAGGGGAAGCCCUUCGGGGCAGGGAGACAGGUGGUGCAUGGUUGUCGUCAGCUCGUGUCGUGAGAUGUUAGGUUAAGUCCUGCACGAGCGC